GGCGGACGGGUGAGUAACGCGUGGGAAUCUGCCUAUUAGCGGGGGAUAGCCCGGAGAAAUCCGGAUUAAUACCGCAUACGCCCUACGGGGGAAAGCUGGGGAUCUUCGGACCUGGCACUAGUAGAUGAGCCCGCGUUAGAUUAGCUUGUUGGUGGGGUAAUGGCCUACCAAGGCAACGAUCUAUAGCUGGUCUGAGAGGACGAUCAGCCACACUGGGACUGAGACACGGCCCAG
rnacentral:rRNA from 1 species